GUAGAGAUGGCUCAGUGGUUAAGAGCCCUGGCUGCUUUUCCAGAGGACCUGAGUUCAAUUCCCAGAAUCCACA
rnacentral:tRNA from 1 species